GCCGGGGUGGCGGAACGGUAGACGCCCGGGACUUAAGAUCCCGUGUCGAUUUUCGGCGUGAGGGUUCGACUCCCUCCCUCGGCA
rnacentral:tRNA from 1 species